CGACCGCAGAGAGACAAGUGCAACGACCUCGUAUUUAUACUCCAGGUAAAUUAUAUUAUACGUGUAUAUAAUCUGCGUUUGCAUAACGGUAAUAAAUCGUGAGCGGCAAAAAUGAUUACCUGUAUCGGAAAUUAUUCAUUCAAGUGAUUCUUUUUUUUCUCUUCAUAAAGAUUGAAUUUAUCGUUCAUAUCGCGCGGUUUUAGUUUCAAAAAUCGUCAAAAUCCAAAAGAUCCGUCCGAUCGAUUCCCGACUGAUUUUUCGAAGAAGUUUUUCGAAAUUUUAUAACCGGUAUCGGUGUACAAUACCGACAUUAUUCCCUGGGCUUCGUUACCGCGACGACCGGUCUUCUGAUAUUUUUGGAGCAAGUUAUUUCUGAGGCCCCUUCCCUUCAGAUAUAUCCUCAGCUAGAGCCACAUGCUACUAAAACUCCUGGCGCCGGAACUUCGGAGACGAGAGGAGAACUUUAUACCCCGCAGCUAUACAUAGACGACUCUAAACGGGGGCCAAAUAAUCGUCUUUCAAAUUAGUCUAGACAUACUCCACAUCACGUGAUCGAUACGAUGGACAUUUACUAAUUUAUGCACGACGACGAUUAAACAGUGAAACGAUCGAGGAAAAAAUUUGAUUAAUUCGAAAAAUGUUCAAAGGAUCAUACAACUGAUGGGGUACCCAAAGAACAAAAAAACAAAUUUGGCGUAUUACAGCUGUAUACAGCGAUCGGCGGAAAGAGCAGCAGGAAAAAAGGAAGGAUGUUGCAAGGAUCAGGGGGUAAUGACCCAGCGUCACGCGAGGUUAAAGAUUCAACGCUGUCGAAGGCAGAUUUUGAGGUGGGCACAGCG